UACGUAGGGUGCAAGCGUUGUCCGGAAUUAUUGGGCGUAAAGAGCUCGUAGGCGGCAUGUUAAGUCGGCUGUGAAAGCCUGGGGCUCAACCCCAGAGGGUCGGCCGAUACUGGCAAGCUAGAGUACGGAAGAGGUAGCUGGAAUUCCCGGUGUAGAGGUGAAAUUCGUAGAUAUUCGGAAGAACACCAGUGGCGAAGGCGGCUCACUGGCCCGGUACUGACGUUGAGGUGCGAAAGCGUGGGGAGCAAACAGG
rnacentral:rRNA from 1 species